UUCUUCCGCGUGUCGUCAUUUGCUCUAUCUAGAAAUCUCCCAUGGAGUCCCGUCGCUCCAUCUUCGUCUACCGAUCUCUUCUGUGGCCGUCGGCCUUGCGUGUAGGUUCUCCAACGCCGUAGUCCUCACGGAGCCGCUCCCGCCGUCCCCCGUCGCGGCCGUAGCAAUCCUCCUAGAUGGUGGCCCUCGAACCGGCUGUCUGGUUCGGCGGGUGGGCGCACGCCGGUGAACAGUGGUGGCCGCUGCUUCGAGUCGGGGACACUGCCUUGCCUUGGCGGGCUGCACCGCCGCAACCGACAACUACGAUGUCGUCGGUAUGGCGGAGCGCAGAUGAUGGUGGUAGCGGAGAAAUCCAGCAGCCGGAGCGGGGAAGAGGCGCAUGGACGAAGGGGAUCCCCGUGGCGGCGGUCCUCACGUGCUGCUCCCUGGGCGGCUAUUCAUCGGGCCAUGCCAUGGGGAUACAGUGGGAGAAGCGGUGGGAGGUGCCGACCCGCUGCCACGGCCUCCUUCGCGGCUGUCGGCCAUGGCCUCGGUCGCGCCCGAUUUCUCCCCGCUCAGAUUUUGCGAAAUUAUCCCCGCCAGAGUUCUCCUCGGCCGUGAGAUCUGCCUGAAUCCUCCGUGGCCAGCAGCUGUGGUGUAGGUCGUUUCAGCUCCGAUUUCGCGGCUGUCGAUGAGGUGCUCCGGCUCUCCGUCCCUGAUGGCCGGUGCGUUGUGUACUUGUGUAGUCGUUCAGGCUCAACGACCGACGGUGCUCUGCAUGGUGGAUAGAAGUGGUGCCUUGGUUCGUCGUUUCCGAUCGUCCGGCCAGAGCUCCCGUGCGCUGCCCCGCACUGCCGUUGGUUCAUAGGUUGCUGCAACAGGCUGUCUCUUUGAUUUUAUCACAUUUGCAUCUGUGUGAUGAUUGGCCUUAACUAGACUAUGCAUUUGUUUUGUAGGAUCCAUCGUUUUAUUUUGUAGUGGCCGUUACAUUUAUUAUCUGUAAACGACUGUUGAUUGAAUUAAAAAAUGUCAACUUUGGUGCUUCAAUUGAUUAGGACGUCUAGCCAUAUAGUUUAGAGGUGUUCGAGGACCAUUUUUCUAUAUGAAACUACAUCGGUUGAUAACUCAGUUGAUUCAGAAUUCUACACCACACUAAAAACUAUAAUCAUUUUAUUGUGCCCUUUUUUGUACUUAGACCGGGAAGUACAAAGAUUAAACACCAGGGUGAACCAUUGAGAAACAGGAGCCGUCUCCGCCUACUUCUCUUCCUCUAUGGUUCACCUUGUUGCUUCGCCGAGCUUUGAUAGCCUGCCUCUGUUGUGCUCUGGAAGCAUGAAACAGUGAACGGGGCGGUCUGUACUAUGGCAUCAGAUGCUACCACGUCAAUUUGAUCUGGGUGAUGUUUUUGAUUUCGUAAUUUUUUGGGAGCCACUAGCCACCCCCAUUGCUCUGCUAGGUAUAUUCACUACCUUCCAUUCUUCACUGUUCCUAUUCUUUUCUUUCAGUACGAGUCAUGCUAUUUGUUGAUCAUAUUUCUUUUUUAUGUUGAUUUUGCAGCACAUACAUGGGUGGAGAUGAAGGAAGAAUUGGUUAGAUAAUCUCAUGGCAGACGUAAGGUCAUGGGCUCUUCUAUCUCUAUUCUCAUUUUUGCUUGGGAGUUUUUUGUUUUUCUAUUGAGGAUCUUUGAUACACACACUGAUGACACUGGGCUAAGAACGAUAUGGUAAUUUCAUAUGCGCACAUGGUGUUCACUGAAAUGCCUGCAAGGUUGAGUGACUUCUCCGCCAACGAUUACUUAAGCAUGUCGAUUGCGAUCUCCUUUCAUGUGUCAGUAGAUGAGGGGUGGCUGCAUAUGUGCAACUUUACUUUCUUUUUCGGGCACGCAUGAUGAAUUUGACAUAUAGCUGUCCUUUUUUAAGUCGACGAAGAAUGCAGUAUGUCAUCUUUCAGGUUUCCUGGGUAGGUAAGAUCAACGAGUGUAAAUGGCGUAGUAGAAAUAAUAGGGGUGUAGGUUUUUGUCAGAUGGUCAUCAGCCUAAAAUGUGUACAUGUUAGUUGCUCACGUAUCUUAUAUGUAGAUAUUGGCCCUCUGAUCAAUGGUUUAUUCGGUUAUUUGAUUUACCUAUUGAUCUAGACUGUAGUUUUAGUGAUAAAUUUAUAAUUAUUCUCUAGAAAAAAUGAUUAGUUCUUACUUGAGUUGAAGGUAUCUCUAAGAUUUCAUAUGUUGUUCGGAUGUGUCAUUGUAUAUUAUCCUAUUUGAGACAAAUAGAUUCAAAAUUGUCAUGUGUAGUGCACUUUCGUUAAGAAAGAGUCCAGGACAUACUGAACUUAUUUUAUAGUAUACAUAGUCGUUACAUUAACUUAGUAUGGCUGACAUAGGUUACUAUACAGAUAAAUAAUCAAUAUCAUGAUAAGUGAGUUCUACUUGAACAGUGUGUUAUCAUAGCUUUCUAAGGAAUAAAUUAUAAAGCUUUGUUUCGAGAGUUCAAUGGUCAAUCGAAGCUAAACAGAGAAUUAGAAGCCUGGUAGUUGGCAUUAACAAUACAAUAUUUUCUUGGAAAUUCAUAUCUAGGAUAAAAUUUCGUCUUGGUAACUAUUGCAUAUUUUUUCCACCUUACCUUUGCAAUUGCGCCAAAAAAAAAUUGUAGACUGAGCUGAGUACUCACACCAAGAUUCCGUUGGUUAGUCAUGGUAGCUCUGCCAUGACACUGUAGUGGUAUUGUAUUGAUUCUUGAACUCCUGAUGUGGUCAUGCAUACAAUAAUCUAGCAAAAGAAAAUUUCCGUGAUUCAAAGCUAUCUAAAGGUGUUACACCAAGAUAAUCCACCUUCCAGAUUAGUUGUUAAUUAUUUCUCACAUUCGACAUGAGUGUAUGAGACAUAAGGAGUAUAUUAUUCAAAUUUUAGUAAAUCUGAACUCUUUUUUGUGAAAACAUGAACUCUUUCGUGUCAGCAUCUAGAUGCAUGAAAGAAGGUGCAACAGCUAAAUGCAUCAACGCAUUGUCUGUAAGGCUCUAAGGUUAGGUUAACUUUUUUUUUCUUUUGCUUAUACACCAAGCUUCUUCAGUUCAGCUAAUAUACGGUUUUUAAUUUGCGAUGUCUGGGAGUUUGUAGUUUCUGGUGCAUACUCUAGAUUUAUGAUUUAUUUAACCACAUUUUUUUAUGUCUGUGAUGGGAGUUUGUAGUUUCUGGUGCAUACUCCUGGAUUUUGAUUUAUUUAACCAGAUUUUUUUGAAAGAAAAUUAUGUGACCAGAUGGUAUAUAACAGUUCCUUUUCUUAAAGUUGUAUUAGAGAAACGUAAGAAUUUAACCACUAAGUUUACUAAUCGAUGUGAUGUAGUACAUGAUACACGAUCUGGGUUUUUUUCCCUCUCGACUUUGGAUCUUAGCACCCAAUUAGUCUAUCUGUACUAAGGAUGACGGCUUAUAUUCAGAGUUUUCCUAGGAUUGGUAAAACACGCACAUCAUAAAAAACAUAACCCACCAUAGAGAGUGGCAGAAGUGCCAGCAAAUUCAAAAAAGGGCCAAUGGGUACAGUCAUCGCUGUAGUAGGAGCUCUGGAACCCAAUGAUAUCAUGGUACGGUGCACAAACUUGCAGAUAAUAUUUCAACUAACUAUUUCGUGUUCUAAUGCCUACAAGAUUUCUUUUAUUUAGACAUGUUAGACUAAACUGCAGGUAAUGUUUUCUAUUUAGAAAUUGCAGCUGUGACCAAAUCAUCUAGAUAGGUAUUGUAGAUAUAGAUCUUUUUUUGUAAUAACAUAUUUGGUCUUUGCCUUUUCAUAAUAUGAGUUUUUUUUGUCCAGGAAGAUUGAAAGUAACAUGAAAAUUCUUCAUGUAUUUUAGUCUGCAGAACAACAUAGACGUGCGAGGAAUAUAUAGCUUAGAGUUUUGAAGACAAUGGAAAGGGCUCCUGAUCGCUUUAUUUUUCCCCCCCUGAAAGGGCUUAUUUUCUGAGUUUCGGUUCAGAUUCUGAGAUUGACAUAUUUGGUCUCAUAAAUGAGCUAUGUCAACUUCAUCCAAAGUUCCCUAGAAUUGUUUAAAACAAGCCUCGGAGAAAGUCUCGAAGGAUCAGCGGAAGCAAGAAAGCACAAAUUGCAACAAGCUAUAAGGGGCCUGAGGGUUAUCUCAUUUUAUUUUAGUAGGGAAUGGUUCUUCACAUUAUCUGGAUGUGCUGCAUAAGCAAUAGUUUCCAUCUUUUAUUUUGGGUCCGUGGAUGUGUAGUUGUCUGUGGAUUUUUUCAUGACUUCUGAACAUUACAAGUUUCAACUGUGCUGAACUUCUCUACUUACAACUCUUGUGCCUUUUCGGCCAUAUGAUCUCGAUUGUGCGGUUGCAUCCAUCCAAGAAACAAAUUGGGCAGGAAGGUUGAUGGUCUUGACCUGAACCUUUACCGGCAAGCUUUGAUCAUCUGACAACAACAUGAAGCAAGACUACUAAGAUCCGAAGUUGUGGGACGAUCUUUCAUGGUCAGACGGCAACAUGAAGCUAGACUAUUCAGUCUCAACCUGGCAAUGCUCAGUGUUAUAUCGAGGUAUUGGCCAGGAAGCCGUGGACAGCUGAGGUAACGUUGGCAUGAUCUACUAUGUUAUGUAUUGUCAAUUGUUGUUCAUAUCUAGGGGGUGUGGAUACCGCUUCUGGCUCUGGUCGUGAAACUGUUUCUUGUGAUGGGUGCAGGGAUGUACAACGUGUGAUUCGAAUGACCCAACUGGACACGUAUCAGACUCUACAUAGCCUUGCGUAGGCGUUUUUUGCUUCAGUUCUUUUUCUUUUCUUUUUGCUGUUACUUUGAGAGUUGGAUUUGCACUACUUAAGUUCUUUCAUCAGAAAAAGAAAAAAAGAUAUGUCCAUCAUUUGCGGACAAGAAAAGUGCUGCCAAUUUCCAUUCACUUCACUAUUAGAUACACAGCAAUAAUAUCCUAGAGGACACAAGUGCUAAAUGCAAAAAAAAGCUUUAUGUCAGUCACAGAACAUGAUUGCAGUACAACAGUGGUGUGUAAACAUGGACUGGUAUAGUCUGUUAUUCUAUAAAUGAUUGAAAUAGAGUUAGUUACAGAAUUCAUUAUUA